GGGUUGUGAGGUUAAGCGACUAAGCGUACACGGUGGAUGCCCUGGCAGUCAGAGGCGAUGAAGGACGUGCUAAUCUGCGAUAAGCGUCGGUAAGGUGAUAUGAACCGUUAUAACCGGCGAUUUCCGAAUGGGGAAACCCAGUGUGUUUCGACACACUAUCAUUAACUGAAUCCAUAGGUUAAUGAGGCGAACCGGGGGAACUGAAACAUCUAAGUACCCCGAGGAAAAGAAAUCAACCGAGAUUCCCCCAGUAGCGGCGAGCGAACGGGGAGCAGCCCAGAGCCUGAAUCAGUAUGUGUGUUAGUGGAAGCGUCUGGAAAGGCGCGCGAUACAGGGUGACAGCCCCGUACACAAAAAUGCACAUAUUGUGAGCUCGAUGAGUAGGGCGGGACACGUGGUAUCCUGUCUGAAUAUGGGGGGACCAUCCUCCAAGGCUAAAUACUCCUGACUGACCGAUAGUGAACCAGUACCGUGAGGGAAAGGCGAAAAGAACCCCGGCGAGGGGAGUGAAAAAGAACCUGAAACCGUGUACGUACAAGCAGUGGGAGCACGCUUAGGCGUGUGACUGCGUACCUUUUGUAUAAUGGGUCAGCGACUUAUAUUCUGUAGCAAGGUUAACCGAAUAGGGGAGCCGAAGGGAAACCGAGUCUUAACUGGGCGUUAAGUUGCAGGGUAUAGACCCGAAACCCGGUGAUCUAGCCAUGGGCAGGUUGAAGGUUGGGUAACACUAACUGGAGGACCGAACCGACUAAUGUUGAAAAAUUAGCGGAUGACUUGUGGCUGGGGGUGAAAGGCCAAUCAAACCGGGAGAUAGCUGGUUCUCCCCGAAAGCUAUUUAGGUAGCGCCUCGUGAAUUCAUCUCCGGGGGUAGAGCACUGUUUCGGCAAGGGGGUCAUCCCGACUUACCAACCCGAUGCAAACUGCGAAUACCGGAGAAUGUUAUCACGGGAGACACACGGCGGGUGCUAACGUCCGUCGUGAAGAGGGAAACAACCCAGACCGCCAGCUAAGGUCCCAAAGUCAUGGUUAAGUGGGAAACGAUGUGGGAAGGCCCAGACAGCCAGGAUGUUGGCUUAGAAGCAGCCAUCAUUUAAAGAAAGCGUAAUAGCUCACUGGUCGAGUCGGCCUGCGCGGAAGAUGUAACGGGGCUAAACCAUGCACCGAAGCUGCGGCAGCGACGCUGAUGCGUUGUUGGGUAGGGGAGCGUUCUGUAAGCCUGCGAAGGUGUGCUGUGAGGCAUGCUGGAGGUAUCAGAAGUGCGAAUGCUGACAUAAGUAACGAUAAAGCGGGUGAAAAGCCCGC
rnacentral:rRNA from 1 species